rnacentral:lncRNA from 1 species
UUGAGGUAUUUAUUUUAUUUAUAAUAAUAAAAUUGGCAUUUGAAUGGCUAUAAAAAAUUGGUUUAUUUCUAUUUAGUUAUUAUAUUAUAAGUUAGAAUUUUCAGUUGUCCGAUGGGAAAAUUCAGAAGCCAUCCAAAAAAGGGAGAAAAAAAACAAUAGUCAAAAAGAAUGAAAGAAGACUUUCGAAAAUAGCCUCUCAUUAUUCUUUACAUAAAUUAUAGUUUAUAGAAGAAGAAA